rnacentral:rRNA from 1 species
UGAAGGUUUACACACUAUAAAUAAAAUUUAUAUUCUUAAUAAAAAAAAUUUAAUUUUUUAGUAAAAAUGCUAAAAUAUUUUAAAGGGACGAUAAGACCCUAAAAGUUUUAAUUAUUAAUAAUUAAUAAGAAUUUUUUUUUUAAAUUUUAACUGGGGAAGUUUAAAUAAUAAAAUUUAUUAAUAUUUUAAAUUAAAAGUUAAUAAAUCUUUUUAUAAGAAUUUAUAUAUAAUUACUUUAGGGAUAACAGCAUAAUAAAAUUAAAAAGUUCAUAUUUAUAUUUUUGAUUAUGACCUCGAUGUUGAAUUAAAAUUACUUUUUAAGGAAAAAUGUAAAUAAGUUGGUUUGUUCAACCAUUAAAAUUUUACAUGAUUU